GACGAACGCUGGCGGCGUGCUUAACACAUGCAAGUCGAACGGAAAGGCCCUGCUUUUGUGGGGUGCUCGAGUGGCGAACGGGUGAGUAACACGUGAGUAACCUGCCCUUGACUUUGGGAUAACUUCAGGAAACUGGGGCUAAUACCGGAUAGGAGCUCCUGCUGCAUGGUGGGGGUUGGAAAGUUUCGGCGGUUGGGGAUGGACUCGCGGCUUAUCAGCUUGUUGGUGGGGUAGUGGCUUACCAAGGCUUUGACGGGUAGCCGGCCUGGGAGGGUGACCGGCCACAUUGGGACUGAGAUACGGCCCAGACUCCUACGGGCGGCAGCAGUGGGGAAUAUUGCAGAAUGGGCGGAAGCCUGAUGCAGCAACGCCGCGUGCGGGAUGACGGCCUUCGGGUUGUAAACCGCUUUCGCCUGUGACGAAGCGUGAGUGACGGUAAUGGGUAAAGAAGCACCGGCUAACUACGUG
rnacentral:rRNA from 1 species